GGCGUGCCUAAUACAUGCAAGUCGAGCGGACAGAUGGGAGCUUGCUCCCUGAUGUUAGCGGCGGACGGGUGAGUAACACGUGGGUAACCUGCCUGUAAGACUGGGAUAACUCCGGGAAACCGGGGCUAAUACCGGAUGGUUGUUUGAACCGCAUGGUUCAAACAUAAAAGGUGGCUUCGGCUACCACUUACAGAUGGACCCGCGGCGCAUUAGCUAGUUGGUGAGGUAACGGCUCACCAAGGCAACGAUGCGUAGCCGACCUGAGAGGGUGAUCGGCCACACUGGGACUGAGACACGGCCCAGACUCCUACGGGAGGCAGCAGUAGGGAAUCUUCCGCAAUGGACGAAAGUCUGACGGAGCAACGCCGCGUGAGUGAUGAAGGUUUUCGGAUCGUAAAGCUCUGUUGUUAGGGAAGAACAAGUACCGUUCGAAUAGGGCGGUACCUUGACGGUACCUAACCAGAAAGCCACGGCUAACUACGUGCCAGCAGCCGCGGUAAUACGUAGGUGGCAAGCGUUGUCCGGAAUUAUUGGGCGUAAAGGGCUCGCAGGCGGUUUCUUAAGUCUGAUGUGAAAGCCCCCGGCUCAACCGGGGAGGGUCAUUGGAAACUGGGGAACUUGAGUGCAGAAGAGGAGAGUGGAAUUCCACGUGUAGCGGUGAAAUGCGUAGAGAUGUG
rnacentral:rRNA from 1 species